GAUUCGUUUGUGUUUUAGCUUUUAUUUUCGGAACUUUAUUAACUACAAACUUGGCUAUUCAAACGGACUCUGAUUGAUUGCAAUAACGACAUACUCAGCCUGGGAUUUACUGUUUUUGUGUGGCUCGGCCAAGGCUCGGCUGGUGGUUCUAUGGUGUUAGAAAAUGAGCAACUUAAUUAUACACAACAAUGGGCAGCACCUCGAUCGGUUACAGCUCAUGAUCUUAUAUGCACAACAUGUUGGACCCAAGCCCAAGAUACAACACAAAUGCAUCUACUUCAAAUCUUAGCAGAAAAUGUGUGCUUUGCAGUAGAACACUAGAGCCUAGAACACGUUCACAUCAGCUCAUGUCCCUGAGAACUAACACUCAACAUCAUAUUAACAUCAGGAACAUAAUUGUGGAACGACUAACUCCAUUAGAGGUUACUGCAAAUGACUACAUCUGUGGGGCUUGUCACUCAUUAUUGCAAAGAGAUACCACACCUACUUCACAAGACUCUCCAGAUAUGCCAACCGGUGCCCCGGUAGGUCACCAACAAGUUUGUGUUGGAUGUGGUUGUUCAUUAUUGCGAACUUGAAGUCAUUGUUUGGAUACAGAGAAUAAUCAAGAUAUAUUAAACAUUGUUCGAAAUUGGAUUCAACCCAGAGAGAUUCGUCCUUCAGAUCUUCUUUGCCAUAGAUACUAUCAGAGAGCACGAAUUACUACAGUUGGUGCUUAUUUAAUGAAGCUGAGGACCGGUGAUUCAGAUGACAGAAUAGCUACAUUACUUGGCAUUUCAAGGAGUACUCUUACAAAAUAUGUAAUGAAAGCACGCAGUAUGAUGGAGGAACAUUUCGUACCAGCACAUUUAGGGUUACAACAUAUUAGUAGAGAGGAAGUAGCCCAAAGAAACCUUUAUGUUCCAGUCUCUUUUCGGGAAGCCAGGAAACGAUUUACCACAAAGAAAGGCUAUUG